rnacentral:lncRNA from 1 species
CAAAUUUGACAUUUAUCAUGGCAAAAAGGGAUUAGAUCGACUUCAUCUCCGCUUUUAGAAUUGGCCUCUCCUCUCUUCUCUUCCUCUCUUCUCAGAUCAGAGCAGAUCUCCUCCUCCAAAAUUAAAUCAAUUUUGGACUCCUUCCUCCAUUGCAGAUAAGAGCAAUUUGUAAUUUUGUAUAUCGCAAAUCUUGAUGGGAGCUUUGAGUUCAAGAAGGUUGGGCUGACUGAGAAAGAUCUCCCUGGAGGUGGUGCAGAGGUGUCGUAUCUCCGCCUCCGUCAUCUACACAUACUUCGUCAUCCAGUCACUCUUCGUCAACACAAGCCGUCAUAUAAGAUUGUCCACAAUCGUCUCUGAGCUCUCACUUCGCUAGAUCGGGUUUCGCCUCUUUCUCACAUACUGGAGCAACCACUUGUUCUUUCUCCUCAACCAAUUCUGGUGCGUUCACUCCUUCCUCUGUUUUUAAAAUUGACAUUUCUCUUCUGUCUUCCUUCUCCUCUGCGCGUAAUCGGUUGAUUAAGUUUUAAUGUGGUUUUUUUUCGGUUGCUCUAGUUUGUAUCGGAAUUGAGCUCUUCUUCUCCAUAAUGGGGGGCAUCGAUUUAAUUCUCUAGGACUAAAAUUGUUUGGUGUUUUGGUCUGUUUUUGUUUGUCUCGGAAUAUUGGCCUAUCUGUUUAAAUGGUCAUAUGUGGGAUGUUAAACGUGAUGACUUUGAUUCAUUAGAAGACUCUAAUGUUGGAAGGCUUGAGAUUGCCAACCUUUCACAUGAUGAAUCUUAAUUGGAGACGUUCUUGUUUGAAGAUGAUGAGUUUGAAGAGAAAAACAUUGCGGAUAAUGAUGUUGUUGAAGCUUGAUGAAGUCAUUAAUUGAAAACAACUUUCCCUUAUUUGUAUUUUAAUUUGACUAUAGACCUUUUCUCAAACCUUUGUUUGAGUUUGGAUUUGGAUUGACUAUGUGAUGAAGUCAUUUGUUAUUUGUAUUGUAAUUUGAUUAUGCAUCCUUGUUUGGAUUUGGAUUGAUGUUUUUUAUUAAGAAACUAUUUUGUUGAUGUUAUUUUUUCAAUUAUAUUAUAAUAAUAUUAUAUUUAUUUUUAAUUUUGACUUUUCUUUCACGUUUCGUAUCAGACUAUAUUUUGAUUUUGACGUUUCCGCGUAUCGGAUUGUAUCGGAAACCAAAACUCGUUUCCAUUUCCGUGUAACAUAGGUGGCUGUUAAGGGUGUAUGUGAACCCUUUAGGGUGAGUGAGUCUGGAUUGGAUUUCGCCGAUCUGGAUUUGAGGUUUCACGGGAAAGUAAGGCUUCUCGACGACACUAGCUGGACUGAGACGACAGGCUCAUGUGGUUCCAUGGACCAAUUCAUGUUACGAUCUGAAUGAAGUUAUUCGGGGCUCGAGUUUUGGAUCCAAGAUGGUGGACCAAGGUUCGACACCAGCUUGGCCAGAGGGAGAAUGUGGUUCCUUUGUUGAGAGGAUGAGUUUCACCUGGUUUUGGGGUUGUUGAGGUCUUUGGGUCUGAGUUUGGGUUCAAACCUAGGACUGAUCAAGACUAGGCUUAGGUCGUUGGGCUCGAAUUCCAAGCAAAGAAGGGUUAUUUUGUAGUUUUUCAUGAUGUGAUAGUUCCCCUUAAUACCAAUGGUAGGGGCACGACUUAGGACUCGAGUUAUACCAGCCUAAGCAUCAUAUGUAAUUUUAUUACUUCAUUCUUAAGUCAAAUGUACACCAAUUGAGGUCUUAAGUAGCUAAUAUUUAGUUUCAUGAAAUAAGUAGUAAUUAAGGUUAUUUUCUUUUGCUUCAGGCUCUUUAUAAGUCCAUGUGUCAACAGUAAAGUUAUCAGUCAUGGGCUUGUACUCCUAGCUUAACAAACUUAGUAGCUUUUAGUAAUUGAUAAAGCAAUACAGUGACUCCUAAUAAAUUUAAAAAAUAAAAAAAAGAUAUUAAGAAAGAGUUCAAAACUACCAUUUUCUUUAUUAAUUUUUCUGAUAACAAGAUGUGCUUACAG